CGACUUCAACUGGUAAUGAAUUUAUAAUUAAUUAUUUUGGUCAUAAAAGUAAUUUAACGUGUUCAUUUCUAAUCAAAAACGACAUAUGAAGUUUACUUUAGUAUUAUGUUUUCAAUAUUUAGAUUUAUUUCUGAUCUUCCUACACUGCGCAGAAGAUCAGAGCUUCAGCCGGCGACCAAGCAUUGUACAACAAGGAGAAAUGUUAAUUAAUGAAUCAGUUUUAAAAUCAC